rnacentral:rRNA from 1 species
UACGUAGGGACCAAGCGUUGUUCGGAUUUACUGGGCGUAAAGGGAGUCUAGGCGGUUUGGUAAGUGGGAUGUGAAAUGCCCGGGCUCACCCCGGGACCUGCAUCCCAAACUGCUGAGCUUGAGUACAGGAGAGGGUGGGGGAAUUCCAGGUGUAGCGGUGAAAUGCGUAGAUAUCUGGAGGAACACCGGUGGCGAAGGCGGCAUUCUGGACCGGCAUUGACGCUGAGGCGCGAAAGCCAGGGGAGCAAACGGG